GCUCAUAUCGAUUAAUGUUUUCAUUGAUUAUUAAUAGGCUAAUAAAAUAAUAAUAUUCUCAUAAAUGAUUUAUAUGCUCAUAAAUAAUAAAUUAAUAAUAUGCUCAUAAAUAAUUAAUGGUUAAUAUGCUCAUAAAUGAUUAACUUGUUCAUAAAUUAUUAUUAUUAUUAAUAUUUUGAAGAAUAUGCGAACGAUAAAUUGAAAAUAUAUAAAUACCAUUGCUAUAUUGUUAUGAAUGAUACUUCGCAAAAUAAUGCAUGGCAUUACAAUCGUUCUGUAGUUCACUGAAAUAAGGUAAUUAUUUACAACCAUGUAAGUAGAAAUUUUGCUUGAAAAAAACAGAAACAAAUAAGUCUCGUUCUGAGAAAACUGGGCAUAAUGCAUGUGCUUAAAGUGAUGUCCCAGAUUAGCCUGUGCAGUUUGCACAGGCUUAACAGGGAUGACACUAUUUCAGCUUUUAUGGUAGUUUUGGUUGAAAGAAAGUCUCUUCUACAUGAAAAUCCAGUUAAGGCGGUAAGUGUCAUCCCUGAUUAGCCUGUGCAGACUGCACAGUCUAAUCUGGGACGACACUUUACGCACAUGCAUUAGGCCCAGUUUUAUCAGAACAAGACACAAAAGUAUUCAUUGGUAACUGUGCGUUGUGACUGCUUCAGGAGAAUUAUACGAUGCAGGGUUACACUGCAGCCUAUGACUCAGUGCGGAAUGGCCACUCAUGGGGUGUAAUUCAUCUCAAGGCAAACUUUACUCAGGAUCUCAUUGAAAGGCGGUGUCGAAAUGGGUCUUGAGCUCUGCCUUAACUGUCGUCCAAUUGGUUUACAAGUCCGACUGAAGUGACAGGCCAUCAAAAACUGUACAGCAUGACUGAUUUGGAGACAGCCCUCAACACUCGCCCAGUCGUGUCGAGAGGAUCGGUGUAUUUGCAGAUUACAUGGAAUUGAGCACCCGAGCCAGACUGACACUUUUCGGAGCCUGUCCGAGAUGGAACUCGAGCAGAGGAAUCAUAGGUCCAGGUGUGACAAAAGACUUAAAGCUCAUGUCUGACGGUGACUUUUUUAAGUCAGGAAGUCAAGUGUGUUGUUUUUUCAUGCAAGCAAGCCGUUUUGUUGGGUCAAAUGACAUUAGAAAUGCUGCUUCUACCUUUUACCUAAAAUGUGCCAAUUUUUUUUUAAAAAGUUUGUUCGAAUCCGGUUCAAAACCUGCUUUGAUGCACAAAUAUUGCCAUUGAUGAUUUUUUUCACUUAUUAAGUCAUAUGUCACAUCAGCUUUGCCUAUUAGAAUCAAAAGUGAUGCCUUGUGAAUGAAAUCUCCAGUUGUAAAGACACACCUCCGCAUUGGACCAAUUAAAUCACUCAUUUGUUUAAAAUGUCAGUUAGUUGAAAUUUAUGUAAACAAAGGUUUUGAACGGCGCUGGACAGUUAGUCUUGAUGCAUAAUGUAAUGACAAGAACGGUAAUAAUAUUUUUUCAUACGUUUUAUUGAAUUAUGGUACAUGAACUUUGUAGGGAAGAUGCCCUUUACUCCGAGAAGAUUUCAGUCUUAAAGACUGCAUGAUCAUUGUCAACUGGGUCAUGCGAGUUGUGUGUCGUGUUAUUUCUUAAAAGUUGACCCAGCAUUUGUAAAAAUAUUGCAAGACAUAUACAUCUCCAGAAAGGAAAUUCAUUUCUGCAUUGAAUAAGACCGAGAUCGUGAAAAUCGCUGGACGGUCGGGCCACUCCCGUAUUUUCUCCUAUUUCUUUGUUAAAAAUGUUGAAUAAACCAAACUCUCUGAAAACCGGAAAACGUACGGGUAUCUCCGUAAAUUUGGUCAUUUUCAACGUAAAAAACAUUGAGUAUACCGGACGGUCUAAAUUCUCAAGAUGCCCGAGGCGUGAAAAUAACAAUACCUAGUCAGCACAGCGAGUGCGGUGUCACACAUUUUGCUCGCGCAAUUAUCGAUAAUCGGAUUAAACAUGAAGUUUCAUAGGAUGUCUUAUCAGAUUUUAGUGAUACUCACAUAUAAAUUUGUAAAUUAUCUGUUGAUGAGUUCAAUUAAAAAAAAAUCCUAUAUAUAAUAUGUGUGUAUAUAUAUAUGUAAUCUCUCAUGCUGUUUUAAAUUUGUCAACUGGAGCUCAUAACCUUAGUAUCUGGGUGUCUAGUUGAUUUUAUAGUGUAUAUAUAUAUAUAAAUGUUAUCUCUCAUGCUGUUUAGAAACUACAUGUGUUUUAAUUCGUCAACUGGAGCUCAUAACCUAUCUGGUUGUUAAGUUGAUUUUAUUUUAUGCUAUGCUUAUGUUGUUGUUUUUUUGGUUUUUUUUAGUUAAUUUUUAUUAUUUUUCUAUUUCUCUAUGUAUAAAGUAUUAAAUACCUAUGUUUUAGAUAAAGAGCUGUCUCUUAUAACUCUGUACUGAGUGGCAAUACACUUGUAAUCUAUGAAUAACUUGUAUAUGUAUAAAGCUGUCAAAUAUGUGUAUUGAAGAGACGUUAAUAAACUAAUAAACUACCAUAAAGGUGUCAAGUCGUUACCGCGCUAUGGGAGUCUGAUUAAGUAAUGUAAAACAAAUUGUGAAUGUCUAUAAUAGACAUGCAGUAACACCAAAAAGUGAUUGACUUGAACGUUUUAUUAAUUAUUUAUUAUCGCCUAUGAUAAACAAUUUAAUUAAAAAAUUAAUGCAUGCCGUUGCGACAAUCACUUUCUUGUGAUCUUCUCAGGUAUUUUAAAAGAUCUUAUAGCCAUGUUUUUAACGCUGAAAUGGUUGUUUGUUUGUUAGUCAGAUAAACUGUUAGAAAUAUGACUGUAAAAUAUCCAUCCAUCUGUAUGCAAAUUCAUUCAUUGCCGUUUACUAAUUUCGAA